rnacentral:misc_RNA from 1 species
GAUGAAGAACGUAGCGAAAUGCGAUACUUGGUGUGAAUUGCAGAAUCCCGUGAACCAUCGAGUCUUUGAACGCAAGUUGCGCCCGAAGCCAUUAGGCCGAGGGCACGCCUGCCUGGGCGUCACACGUCGUUGCCCCCCCAUCUACUCCUUCGGGAUUGCGGGGGGCGGAUGAUGGCCUCCCGUGCGCCUCGCCGCGCGGUUGGCAUAAAUGCCAAGUCCUCGGCGACGCACGCCACGACAAUCGGUGGUUGCGAAACCUCGGUUGCCCGUCGUGUGCGGUCGUCGCGCAUCGAGGGCUCGAAAAAAUUGCCGGGUUCCGGCUCGACUUUCAACGCGACCCUAGGUCAGGCGGGGUUACCCGCUGAAUUUAAGCAUAUCAAUAAGCGGAGGA